rnacentral:lncRNA from 1 species
AUGGAGAAUCACAACAGGAAAAGAAAAGGGAAAUCGCACCACACGCUACCAUUCACCGUGGAGCCCGUUCUUCCUUUAAUUCUGAAAUGCUUUCAUUUGGAGUCUGCUGCACUGGUUGGCAGCUGUUGGUGGGAGGCAGCUCUCCACCUGGGCCUGCGGCUUCUCAGAAGUCCCUGCGUGCCUGUGACCAAGGAGGCCUGGUCUGCAUAGAGUCGUCCCCUGGGGCGGUCCAGGGCACCCCACGCAGAACUCCAUUGUAAUUCUGAAAAAACAGACAAGUAGAAAAACCCACAAGUUGCCUGCACGGUUGGCCUCCAAGUUUAAACACACUGUGUCCUGCCUAAUGUUUUCUAGGAGGGCUUCAGAUGAGGAAAUCCCACCUCAGAUGAAAACUGUUAUGAUAAAUUUCAAAUGGAUUCGGGGGCAGGUGUUUAGGAAAGGAGCCGAGGCACUUUGAGGGGACUCUUUAAAGUCAGGUAUGGGGCGCCUGGGUGACUCUAUGGGGUGAGCGUCCGACUUUUGGUUUCAGCUCAGAUGGUGAUCAGGGUUGUGAGAUCGAGCCCCACAUCGGGCUCCACGCUCAGCACAGUCUGCUUGAGGUUCUCUCUCUCUCUCUCUCCCUCUGCCCAUUCCCCUGCUCACACACAUGCUCUCUCUCUCUCAAAUAAAUAAAUCUUUUAAAAAAUAAAUAAAGUAUCAUAGUGGGCUGAUUUGUGUUCCCUCAAACUCAUGUGUGAAGCCCUAGCCUUCCAUAUCUCAGAAUAUGCCUGAAUUUGGAGAUGGCCUUUCACAGGGUGAUUAAGCUAAAAUGAGGUCAUUAGGGUGGACCCUAAUCCAUGUGACGGCUGUCCUCAUUAGAAGAGAUCAGGACCCAGACACAGAGGGAAGGCCAUGUGGAGAGACACAGGGAGAAGGUGGCUGAAGAGAGCUGGAUCAGAGAGACCAGCUGCAAAUCUUGAUCUCAGACUUGCAGCUUCCAGAACAGUGAGAAAACAAAUGUGAUUUCAGCUUUCCAGGGUGUGGGACUUUGUUGUGGUCUCUGGGUAGACUCAUGCAGGACUGUCCAAGUGUACCCGUCAGGGGUGCAGGAACAAGGCCCCGGAGAGGGAGGCAAAGAUGAGAGGCUGAAGGAUUGCUCUGGAGGGACGGCUUAUGUGGAAUGUUCCAGAUGAGGGAGAAAGACUCAGAAGGGUGGGGAAUGGAGGAUAAUUGUACCUAAGGCUGGAUUAAAGUAAAAGUGACAAACCAGUCUUACUCUGCUCGUGCUAUGUGGGCUCCACACAUCCUUCUCUUUUUCACAGCCCAGCUUGUUUCUUGCUGCCCAAGGUCUUACUGUGUUCCUCAGGAUUAUGUACCAUUUAUUCGGGGACCCCCUGAAGGUAGAACAAUAGCUUGUCCCUCCUGCCCCCAUGCCAGUAACCUCUACUGGUGGAAUCUCCCAAUGCUGGUGGAGAAUUUAGAUUAAAGGCCUUUCCUAAGUGGCCCUCAGAUUGUAUCACUUGGGGAACAGCCUGCUAUUUCUACUCUUAAUUAAAGCUGCCUUACUGAAGAAGUAAAAGAUUUAAAUGAAAAAAAAAAAAAAGAUUUUGGGCCGUGGGAUGCCACACUGAAUUUCAAAUGGAAUAAAAUCCCCAAAAUGGAAUCCCCACAUAGAGUCCUGUCUCCUAAUUAGUCUCAGAUCUUGAUUCCUCUCUCUUUUUCUCUCUCUCUCUCUUUUUUAAGAGAGAGAAAGAGAAUCUUAAGCAGGUUCCACACACAUUGCAGAGCCUGAUGUGGAGCUCAAUCUCACGAUCCUGAGAUCAUGACCUGAGCCGAAAUCUAGAGUUGGACGCUUAACCAGCUGAGCCACCCAGAUGCCUCAAUUCCUCUCUCUUUUUAUUUUUGGUGCUUUAAAACAAAAUCAGUAACCCAGCAUAAUUAAAAGGUGUGCCAUGGAGGAACACACAGAGCUCCAGAAGUGAGUCAUUUCAUUCGUUUGUGCCCUGAUUUCUCCAUGUGCGAGCCCAUGGGCCACGCUACCCCACCGCCUCCUUGCUCAAAAUGCCGUCAGGGACAUUCGAACCAUAAUAAAUUCAGGGUCUUAGUUAAGUAUUAGGUAAAUAUUUAGCUCCAACAUACUUCUUCCUAGAAGUAGGAGAGAUAGUGACCUGAAGCUGAAGUUCCCCCUUUGAAGUUUUGAGUUUGAAAGGGUCUACUUCUUGCUUUUUAUGAAAAAAACAAAACCAUUCCUUUUGUCAUUACGUUGUUACGAUUUUCUUUUAAUAACAGGUCUGGAACAGGUAGAAAUUCCCUAAACCCAUGGAAAGGAAGGCUCUCAUCUCACUAUAAUUUUUGGUAAUUACAGCUAACAGCAGCUCAUUUUGUUGGCUUCAUUUGGGAAAACUGAAACUUAUCUCUUUAUCCUCGUAAGAGUUCUUGUUUUGAUAGAAUCUCUUCAGAAUCCAUUAAACAUCCUUUUUUCUUCUUAAUCUUUGUCCACUGGAUAUAGGUCAUCAUAAUAUUACUGUUGCACUAAGGCAUCGUUCAGUCCUGUCAACAAUGAGCCUGUCAUCAAUGUGUGUGUGUGUGUGUGUGUGUGUGUGUGUGUGUGUGUUUCCCCUUAUGGCUAAAUGACACUUUUUGGAAUCUUGUAUCCACUUGGUGCCAUUGCCUAUUUUUGUCAAUCUGUGUACCUUGAAUCUCUCCCAUUUGCGUGGGCUGGGAGAGCAUGUUAGAAUAUGUUAGAAUAAUCUACAACUAGAUAAAAUUGGCUCUGAACUCCAGGUGUCAGAAGCUCUUUGGUGAAUAGCAGUACAGUGGAUAUUCAUGAAUGCCAUCCCAGCUUGUGUUACUGCCUUUCCAAUAGCCCCUGAUUUCUAGGGGGGGAUCCAUGUAUUUCUAUCCGGGGCUCCAGGGUUGGAGCCUUUGAGCCCAGCCAAGGCCAGUCAGCACACUGCAUUCCCCUAGCUGUGUGCUUGGUCCAGGGGUCCAAUCAGAGAGCUCUCAGCAUCUCUAGCUUAUGAUGCCUUGAGAAAAGUACCUACUGUUUCUUGGACAUAGAAUAAAGCCUAUAGUCUAGAUCUACCCAAGGUCAUCUUGUCACCAUUAGGGAGUUAGCUUUAGGAUGAGGUUGAUACCAAUGAAGGCAGAAUGGAAAGACAGAUUGAAAUAGUAACUUUGGUGACAUCUUCUAACCACUGGGCUAACCAUUGCUUAAAGCUCCCCCUACCUCGGGAUGUCUCUAUUUUUUUAUAUGAGACUUUAAAUGAUAAAUCUUCUAUUUUCUAAGCCAGUUUGAGUUAGCUUUUCUGAUAUUUAUAUCAAAGAGAGUCCUAAUGGAUUCAUAAUGUGAAAGAAUUUUGUACUUGGGUUUAGUAUAAAACUAUUUUGAUAUUUCAGAAGAUACUGUUGGCAUACUUCCUAGUAAUAUCUGGGUAUCCACUUAUUCUUUUUUAUUAAAGAUUUUAUUCAUUUAUUCAUGAGAGACACAGAAAGAGAGAGAGGCAGAGACACAGGCAAUGGGAGAAGCAGGCUCCAGGCAGGGAGCCUGAUGCGGGACUCAAUCCUGGGACUCCAGGAUCACGCCCUGAGCUGAAGGCGAUGCUGAACCGCUAAGCCAUCCGGGCUGCCCCGACUUAUUCUUUAAAUUAUACAUACACAGGGGCACCUGGAUGGCUCAAUUAGAUGUCUGACUCUUGAUCUUACCUAAGGUCUUGAUCUCAGGGUCAUGAGUUUGAGUCCUGCAUGGGGUUCCAUGCUGGGUGUAGAGCCUACUUAAAAAAAAUGUGCAUAUGCAUUACAUGCACUUUUGUAUAUAUGAUAUUUCACUAUAAAAAG